GAGGGUAUAGCUCAAGUGGUAGAGUGCAUGUUUAGCAUGCAUGAGGUCCUGGGUUCAACCCCCAGUACCUCCU
rnacentral:tRNA from 1 species